CCUAGUUUGGGGAAAUGUGUCCUUGUAUCCUUGUAUGCAUGACAGUAGUACAAACAUGAAUAACAUUGCUGCUUUUGGUGUUCAGGCAAGCACAUCUGUUCACGGUGCUAGGCUACAUCACGUAGCAUGCCAGACAGACCCACCAAAGAUGCGCACACAUGGAACGCAGCUUUCUAUGAAAACACUGCAACCUCACUACAAAAGUACAGGCACACAGAAAACUGUGCUGCACUGAUGUCGGUGUUGGGACCUCAGCUGUAAGAGACCUCGCUUGGAGGAGGGAGAGGACAAGAUGUGACAUUACAUGGAUAACCUGUUGGACCUCAUCUUUCACGAGGUUUUUCAGGACCCGGCCCCAUAUGUGAAUGAGGUGCUGAAGAUCUCAAAACCUGAGGAUCUCUCUGCCUAGUAUGAGAAACCUGACAAGCAGGAAGUUAUGGCCAGCUAUGUGUCGAGUUUCAAUCAAGGGCAGGUCUGAACCCUGUAUAACUUCCCUGAGCAUCAGGGAACACUCUGCGUAUCUGGAGCACCGAGCAGGAGGGCAGGACCACCCUGAUUCUCCGGCCCAGAGGGCCUCAACACCAGCUCACAAAGCUUCUGUACGCCAAAUACCUGUAACGGCUGAGCAAAGUUCACAUUGUAUUUAGAGAAUAAAAGGUGACACACAAAUAUAAAGUGUUCCUUUGUUUACAGUAUAGCUACUGAUGGCACAAAUUGUAUUUUUGUAAUGAAUGUAUUUAUUAUACUUGGUAUUUUUUGUAUUUAUUACCUCUG